rnacentral:rRNA from 1 species
GAUGAACGCUAGCUACAGGCUUAACACAUGCGAGUCGAGGGGUAACGAGAGGAAAGCUUGCUUUCCUUGUCGACGACCGGCGCACGGGUGAGUAACGCGUAUCCAACCUGCCCCCAACUAGGGAAUAACCUUGCGAAAGUAAGACUAAUACCCUAUAAUUUCCUCAGAUGUCAUCUGACGAGGAAUAAAGAUUUAUCGGUUGUGGAUGGGGAUGCGUCUGAUUAGCUUGUUGGCGGGGUAACGGCCCACCAAGGCAACGAUCAGUAGGGGUUCUGAGAGGAAGGUCCCCCACAUUGGAACUGAGACACGGUCCAAACUCCUACGGGAGGCAGCAGUGAGGAAUAUUGGUCAAUGGGCGGAAGCCUGAACCAGCCAAGUAGCGUGCAGGAUGAUGGCCCUAUGGGUUGUAAACUGCUUUUAUACAGGAAUAAAGUUAGCCACGUGUGGUUAUUUGUAGGUACUGUAUGAAUAAGGACCGGCUAAUUCCGUGCCAGCCGCCGCCGUAA